rnacentral:rRNA from 1 species
AGUGAACGCUGGCGGUAGGCCUAACACAUGCAAGUCGAACGGCAGCACCGUAAGAGCUUGCUCUUACGGGUGGCGAGUGGCGGAUGGGUGAGGAAUACAUCGGAUUUUACUUUUUCGUGGGGGUUAACGUCGGGAAACUUUCGCUAAUACCGCCUAUGUCCUCCGGGUGAAAGCAGGGGAUCUUCUGACCUUGCGCGAUUGAAUGAGCCGAUGUCGGAUUAGCUAGUUGGCGGGGUAAAGGCCCACCAAGGCGACGAUCCGUGGCUGGACUGAGAGGAUGGUCGGCGGCACUGGAACUGGGACGCGGUCCAGGCUCCUGCGGGAGGCAGCAGUGGGGAAUAUUGGACAAUAGGCGCAAGCCUUAUCCAGCCAUACCGCGUGUGUGGAGGAGGCCUUCGGGUUGUAAAGCCCUUUUGUGGGGAAAGAAAAGCAGCAAGUUAAGACCCCGCUGGUCCGACGGUACCCAAAGAAUAAGCACCGGCUAACUUCGUG